rnacentral:rRNA from 1 species
GAUGAACGCUAGCGGGAGGCUUAACACAUGCAAGUCGAGGGGUAAAUGGUAGCAAUACUAUGAGACCGGCGGACGGGUGCGUAACGCGUAUGCAACAUACCUUUAGCAGGGGGAUAGCCCGUGGAAACGCGGAUUAAUAUUCCAUAGUCCAGCAGUAUCGCAUGGUACCACUGGUAAAGAUUAAUCGGCUAAAGAUUGGCAUGCGUCUGAUUAGUUAGUUGGUAGGGUAACGGCCUACCAAGGCGACGAUCAGUAGGGGUUCUGAGAGGAUUACCCCCCACACUGGUACUGAGACACGGACCAGACUCCUACGGGAGGCAGCAGUGAGGAAUAUUGGUCAAUGGGCGGAAGCCUGAACCAGCCCAUCCCGCGUGAAGGAAGACAGCCUUACGGGUUGUAAACUUCUUUUCUGUUUGAAGAAUAAGCCCGUUGAGACGGGUGAUGCCGGUAGGACAGGAAUAAGCAUCGGCUAACUCCGUGCCAGCAGCCGCGGUAAUUGUAGUCGU